UUUCAUCAGUUUGUGCCUAUAAUAGAGUCACGGGCGCAAAGAUCAUACAACAAAACAGCCCCCUUUAAGGUGCCGCCUUAAAAAUCGGAAGUGUUCCUUUGCUAGAAAAGUCACCAGCCCCCUACUAAGGAGCGCCGUUGACUUAGCACUGGUUAGACUGAAUGUCCAUCUGUCUGCCCACCAAGGAGAUAGCCCCACGCUCCAGGGCUGUGUGAUGCCCGGUUUUCCGGAAGGCAGCACUGUGGAGGGGCCGAGGCCUGGCGAACAGCCCCGCCCACUAGGCUAGCCACCCUG